UUUACACUGUUUUGGAAACGGUUUAGUGUCUUUGGAAAAGUCCGUUAUCAUUUUAGCAGUUUUCAGUCCUGCGCCAGCGGGGAGCAGAGUUGCCAUGGAAACGGGGCGUCAACACAAAAACCGUUACUGGCAAGCAGUAAUCUCCGUCUCUCGCUGCAGUUUACACUGUUUUGGGAGGACAGAAAGAAACUCUACAGAACAGAAGUGAAGCUCCAAGAUUUCAACAUUUCUGAAGGGAGAUUCUGACUUAGAAAUACAGGUGACCUGAAGAAGCUCAUGAAAAACAUGAAUAUGCCUUUUUCAGAAUACAUUUCACCAAUUUUAAGAAGUCCCUGACAUCAUAACCUUGUUUCCUUCUAAUGAACCUGGAACUGCAGAGUAAUUAUUGUUGUCUCUGUGUCAGCUUGUUUUGUUCCUGGAUUCUUCAGUGAUGAUGAGCAGAGUCUGAGUGAACCUGCUGUCAGACAGAUGGCCAUCCCAAGGUUUCUAGAGAUUACAGCAGCUCCAGACUGAAUCCAAACUCACUUUUGAAGACUUCAGAUGACACCAACGCUCACAAAGACUACAGACAACAACUGUACAUGAACACACAAAACAUUGGACACACAAAACAAAUAUUAUCCUUAUUUUGCCUGUAAGGGUAAAUUUGAUGAUUUUCAAACUGCUUUAUUGUAACGUCUCUUAUAUCUGUAAAUGAACAAUAUUUACUCUCUGAGUUAUGUGGACCUACAUGUCCCCUUUUAUUUGUAAGCAUCACUUUAAAAAUGUUGAAAGAUAAUGUUAAUAACUGAAUAACUCAAAACUGAAUACAAAACUAGAGACUUGUUUAGUAAGAUUUUAUCAGAAAAUAUUUUUUAACUUUUAUCAUGCAAUUUAAAACAUUUUAAUUGCUUAAUUAGUAUUGUUUGCCUGGUUUUAUUUUGUGUUUAUGUAACUCUUUUUAAAAAGUUCUUGGCAUAAAGUUCGCAUGCGAUGCUGACAGCACAGAACACAUGACUUUUUAUUAUGAACUAGAUGGUCUUCCCAGUGAGUCUUAGUCAUCUAUGGCUUUUUAAACUGUAACCUUGAAACAUGCAUUUCCUGUAAACCUACUUUGAAAUAAGUAUUGUCAAAAGGUGCUAUACUCAUACAACAUUUAACCAUGCAAGUACUGUAGUAAUGGUUAUUUUUGUUUUUACUAUGGGUUUACUGCAAAAGCUGUAGUAAAAUCAUGGUGAUUGUAGUAAAACUGUGGUUGAUUUUGUUUUUUCUAUGGUUUUACUGCAAAAGCUGUAGUAAAAUCAUGGUUUAUGUUCAAAAGACUACAAAUAAUCCCGAAUUAUCCACUUUUGAUCAAAGCAUCUGGUAAAUGUUAUU